rnacentral:rRNA from 1 species
UUCCGGUUGAUCCUGCCGGAGGCCAUUGCUAUCGGGGUCCGAUUUAGCCAUGCUAGUCGUGCGGGUUCAGACCCGCGGCGAAAAGCUCCGUAACACGUGGCCAAACUACCCUGUGGAGGGGAAUAACCUCGGGAAACUGAGGCUAAUACCCCAUAACGCUCCCGACCUGGAGUGGUGGGAGCAGGAAACGCUCCGGCGCCACAGGAUGUGGCCGCGGCCGAUUAGGUAGACGGUGGGGUAACGGCCCACCGUGCCGAUAAUCGGUACGGGUUGUGAGAGCAAGAGCCCGGAGAUGGAAUCUGAGACAAGAUUCCAGGCCCUACGGGGCGCAGCAGGCGCGAAACCUUUACACUGCACGAAAGUGCGAUAAGGGGACCCCGAGUGCGAGGGCAUACAGUCCUCGCUUUUCUGUACCGUAAGGAGGUACAGGAAUAAGGGCUGGGCAAGACCGGUGCCAGCCGCCGCGGUAAUACCGGCAGCCCGAGUGAUGGCCGCUAUUAUUGGGCCUAAAGCGUCCGUAGCCGGCCGGAUAAGUCCGUCGGGAAAUCCAUCCGCUCAACGGAUGGGCGUCCGGCGGAAACUGUUCGGCUUGGGGCCGGAAGACCCGAGGGGUACGUCCGGGGUAGGAGUGAAAUCCCGUAAUCCUGGACGGACCGCCGGUGGCGAAAGCGCCUCGGGAGGACGGACCCGACGGUCAGGGACGAAAGCUAGGGUCACGAACCGGAUUAGAUACCCGGGUAGUCCUAGCUGUAAACGAUGGCCGCUAGGUGUGGCACUGGCUACGAGCCAGUGCUGUGCCGUAGGGAAGCCGUGAAGCGGCCCGCCUGGGAAGUACGUCUGCAAGGAUGAAACUUAAAGGAAUUGGCGGGGGAGCACUACAACCGGAGGAGCCUGCGGUUUAAUUGGAUUCAACGCCGGG